rnacentral:rRNA from 1 species
AGUGAACGCUGGCGGUAGGCCUAACACAUGCAAGUCGAACGGCAGCACAGUAAGAGCUUGCUCUUACGGGUGGCGAGUGGCGGACGGGUGAGGAAUACAUCGGAAUCUACUUUUUCGUGGGGGAUAACGUAGGGAAACUUACGCUAAUACCGCAUACGACCUACGGGUGAAAGCAGGGGAUCUUCGGACCUUGCGCGAUUGAAUGAGCCGAUGUCGGAUUAGCUAGUUGGCGGGGUAAAGGCCCACCAAGGCGACGAUCCGUAGCUGGUCUGAGAGGAUGAUCAGCCAAACUGGAACUGAGACCCGGUCCAGACCCCUAGGGGGGGCAGCAGGGGGGAAUUUUGGAAAAGGGGCGAAAGCCUGAUCCAGCCAUACCGGGUGGGGGAAGAAGGCCUUCGGGUUGUAAAGCCCUUUUGUUGGGAAAAAAAAUCAGCAGGUUAAUACCCCGCGGUUCUGACGGUACCCAAAGAAUAAGCACCGGCUAACUUCGU